GAUGAAGAACGCAGCGAAAUGCGAUAAGUAAUGUGAAUUGCAGAAUUCAGUGAAUCAUCGAAUCUUUGAACGCACCUUGCGCUCCUUGGUAUUCCGAGGAGCAUGCCUGUUUGAGUGUCAUUAAAUUCUCAACCAUUAUCAACUUUUGCUGAUAAUGGCUUGGAUGUGGGGGUCUAUUUUGCUGGCUUCUCAGAUAGUCAGCUCCCCUUAAAUGCAUUAGCCGGUGCCCCGCGUGGACUGUCUAUUGGUGUGAUAAUUAUCUACGCCAUAGACAUCUGCAAUCAUAUGGGUUUGCGCUGCUUCUAACAGUCUGUUGAUUCAGACAAUACAUGACAAUUUGACCUCAAAUCAGGUAGGACUACCCGCUGAACUUAAGCAUAUCAAUAAGCGGAGGA
rnacentral:misc_RNA from 1 species